rnacentral:rRNA from 1 species
UACGUAGGGGGCAAGCGUUGUCCGGAUUUAUUGGGCGUAAAGAGCGUGUAGGCGGCCAUACAGGUCAGCUGUGAAAACUCGAGGCUCAACCUCGAGACGUCGGUUGAAACCGUAUGGCUAGAGUCCGGAAGAGGAGAGUGGAAUUCCCGGUGUAGCGGUGAAAUGCGUAGAGAUCGGGAGGAACACCAGUGGCGAAGGCGGCUCUCUGGACCAGCACUGACACUGAGGCACGAAAGCGUGGGGAGCAAACAGG